ACUCUUUUAGUUUAAUAGGUUAAAACAUAUUAUUUCUAAUUAUAUAAUCUACGUUCGAAUCGUGGAAAGAGUG
rfam:Pachysolen tannophilus NRRL Y-2460 unplaced genomic scaffold PACTA_scaffold_10, whole genome shotgun sequence.